rnacentral:rRNA from 1 species
AGGACGAACGCUGGCGGCGUGCCUAAUACAUGCAAGUCGAACGCUUCUUUUUCCACCGGAGCUUGCUCCACCGGAAAAAGAGGAGUGGCGAACGGGUGAGUAACACGUGGGUAACCUGCCCAUCAGAAGGGGAUAACACUUGGAAACAGGUGCUAAUACCGUAUAACAAUCGAAACCGCAUGGUUUUGAUUUGAAAGGCGCUUUCGGGUGUCGCUGAUGGAUGGACCCGCGGUGCAUUAGCUAGUUGGUGAGGUAACGGCUCACCAAGGCGACGAUGCAUAGCCGACCUGAGAGGGUGAUCGGCCACAUUGGGACUGAGACACGGCCCAAACUCCUACGGGAGGCAGCAGUAGGGAAUCUUCGGCAAUGGACGAAAGUCUGACCGAGCAACGCCGCGUGAGUGAAGAAGGUUUUCGGAUCGUAAAACUCUGUUGUUAGAGAAGAACAAGGAUGAGAGUAACUGUUCAUCCCUUGACGGUAUCUAACCAGAAAGCCACGGCUAACUACGUGCCAGCAGCCGCGGUAAUACGUAGGUGGCAAGCGUUGUCCGGAUUUAUUGGGCGUAAAGCGAGCGCAGGCGGUUUCUUAAGUCUGAUGUGAAAGCCCCCGGCUCAACCGGGGAGGGUCAUUGGAAACUGGGAGACUUGAGUGCAGAAGAGGAGAGUGGAAUUCCAUGUGUAGCGGUGAAAUGCGUAGAUAUAUGGAGGAACACCAGUGGCGAAGGCGGCUCUCUGGUCUGUAACUGACGCUGAGGCUCGAAAGCGUGGGGAGCAAACAGGAUUAGAUACCCUGGUAGUCCACGCCGUAAACGAUGAGUGCUAAGUGUUGGAGGGUUUCCGCCCUUCAGUGCUGCAGCUAACGCAUUAAGCACUCCGCCUGGGGAGUACGACCGCAAGGUUGAAACUCAAAGGAAUUGACGGGGGCCCGCACAAGCGGUGGAGCAUGUGGUUUAAUUCGAAGCAACGCGAAGAACCUUACCAGGUCUUGACAUCCUUUGACCACUCUAGAGAUAGAGCUUCCCCUUCGGGGGCAAAGUGACAGGUGGUGCAUGGUUGUCGUCAGCUCGUGUCGUGAGAUGUUGGGUUAAGUCCCGCAACGAGCGCAACCCUUAUUGUUAGUUGCCAUCAUUUAGUUGGGCACUCUAGCAAGACUGCCGGUGACAAACCGGAGGAAGGUGGGGAUGACGUCAAAUCAUCAUGCCCCUUAUGACCUGGGCUACACACGUGCUACAAUGGGAAGUACAACGAGUCGCAAAGUCGCGAGGCUAAGCUAAUCUCUUAAAGCUUCUCUCAGUUCGGAUUGUAGGCUGCAACUCGCCUACAUGAAGCCGGAAUCGCUAGUAAUCGCGGAUCAGCACGCCGCGGUGAAUACGUUCCCGGGCCUUGUACACACCGCCCGUCACACCACGAGAGUUUGUAACACCCGAAGUCGGUGAGGUAACCUUUUGGAGCCAGCCGCCUAAGGUGGGAUAGAUGAUUGGGGUGA